UACGGGGGGGAGCAAGCGUUGUUCGGAUUUACUGGGCGUAAAGGGCGCGUAGGCGGCGCAACAAGUCACUUGUGAAAUCUCCGGGCUUAACCCGGAACGGUCAACUGAUACUGUGCGGCUAGAGUGCAGAAGGGGCAACUGGAAUUCUCGGUGUAGCGGUGAAACGCGUAGAUAUCGAGAGGAACACCGGUGGCGAAGGCGGCGACCUGGUCCGUGACUGACGCUGAGGCGCGAAAGCGUGGGGAGCAAACAGG
rnacentral:rRNA from 1 species